rnacentral:rRNA from 1 species
AGCUCCAACAGUGUAUGCUAAAGUUGUUGCGGUUGAAAAGCUCGUAGUUGGAUUUUAGGUGGGCGCAGUCGGUCCGUCGCAGGGCGUGUUACUGGCUGCGCUCGCCUCGCCUUCGGUUCUCCGUCGGUGCUCUUGACUGAGUGUCGGCGGUGGCCGAGAAGUUUACUUUGAAAAAAUUAGAGUGUUCAAAGCAGGCUGCUCGCCUGAAUAGUGUUGCAUGGAAUAAUGGAAUAGGACCUCGGUUCUAUUUUGUUGGUUUUCGGAGCGCGAGGUAAUGAUUAAGAGGGACAGACGGGGGCGUCCGUACUCUGCCGUUAGAGGUGAAAUUCUUGGAUCGGCGGAAGACGAACUACUGCGAAAGCAUUCGCCAAGAAUGUUUUCUUUAAUCAAGAACGAAAGU